GAUGAACGCUGACAGAAUGCUUAACACAUGCAAGUCGAUUCAAUUUACCUUCGGGUAUUGAGGAUGGCGGACGGGUGAGUAACGCGUAAGGAACUUGCCUCUUGGUCUGGGACAACUGUUGGAAACGACAGCUAAUACCGGAUAUUAUGAGAUUCUCGCAUGAGAAACUUAUGAAAGCUAUAUGCGCCAAGAGAGAGCCUUGCGUUCCAUUAGCUAGUUGGUGGGGUAACGGCCCACCAAGGCGACGAUGGAUAGCCGGCCUGAGAGGGUGAACGGCCACAAGGGGACUGAGACACGGCCCUUACUCCUACGGGAGGCAGCAGUGGGGAAUAUUGGACAAUGGGCCACAAGCCUGAUCCAGCAAUUCUGUGUGCACGAUGAAGGUCUUCGGAUUGUAAAGUGCCUUCAGUUGGGAAGAAGAAAGUGACGGUACCAACAGAAGAAGCGACGGCUAAAUACGUGCCAGCAGCCGCGGUAAUACGUAUGUCGCAAGCGUUAUCCGGAUUUAUUGGGCGUAAAGCGCGUCUAGGCGGAAAAAUAAGUCUGAUGUUAAAAUGCGGGGCUCAACUCCGUAUUGCGUUGGAAACUGUUUUUCUAGAGUACUGGAGAGGUGGGCGGAACUACAAGUGUAGAGGUGAAAUUCGUAGAUAUUUGUAGGAAUGCCGAUGGAGAANUCAGCUCACUGGACAGA
rnacentral:rRNA from 1 species